rnacentral:rRNA from 1 species
ACUCCUACGGGAGGCAGCAGUGGGGAAUAUUGCACAAUGGGGGAAACCCUGAUGCAGCCAUGCCGCGUGUGUGAAGAAGGCCUUCGGGUUGUAAAGCACUUUCUAGUAGGGAGGAAGGUAGUGUAGUUAACACCUGCAUUAUUUGACGUUACCUACAGAAGAAGCACCGGCUAACUCCGUGCCAGCAGCCGCGGUAAUACGGAGGGUGCGAGCGUUAAUCGGAAUUACUGGGCGUAAAGCGCAUGCAGGCGGCCUGUUAAGUCAGAUGUGAAAGCCCGGGGCUUAACCUCGGAAUUGCAUUUGAAACUGGCAGGCUAGAGUCUUGUAGAGGGGGGUAGAAUUUCAGGUGUAGCGGUGAAAUGCGUAGAGAUCUGAAGGAAUACCAGUGGCGAAGGCGGCCCCCUGGACAAAGACUGACGCUCAGAUGCGAAAGCGUGGGGAGCAAACAGGAUUAGAUACCCUGGUAGCGUCGUC